rnacentral:rRNA from 1 species
GCAGGCUCGUUGGUGAACAGCGGAGGGAUCAUUACAGAGUUAUCUAACUCCCAAACCCAUGUGAACUUACCUUUGUUGCCUCGGCAGUUUGGGCGAGCCUACCCUGUAGCGAGUUACCCUGUAACGAGUUACCCUGUAGCUGCUUACCCUGUAACGGCUGCCGACGGACUACUAAACUCUUGUUAUUUUUAAGUAAUCUGAGCGUCUUAUUUUAAUAAGUCAAAACUUUCAACAACGGAUCUCUUGGUUCUGGCAUCGAUGAAGAACGCAGCGAAAUGCGAUAAGUAAUGUGAAUUGCAGAAUUCAGUGAAUCAUCGAAUCUUUGAACGCACAUUGCGCCCAUUAGUAUUCUAGUGGGCAUGCCUGUUCGAGCGCAUUUCAACCCUUAAGCCUAGCUUAGUAUUGGGAGCUGACUUUACUGUCACUCCUCAAAUUCAACGGCGGAUUUAUAGCAAUCUCUGAACGUAGUAAUCUUUAUCUCGUUUUUGAAAUACUAUAAACCUCAGCCGCUAAACCCCCAAUUUUUAAUGGUUGACCUCGGAUCAGGUAGGAAUACCCGCUGAACUUAAGCAUAUCAAUAAGCGGAGGAA